UCCUCAGUUGGGACCUGCCUGAUGUUUCCUCACAGAGUCACAUCUCAGCCAAAAUACUGGCAGAGUGACCUGUGUCCUCCUCAGAGUAUCACACCCAGAAGCACGUGUCUGUCUGCCCCUCACUGGUAAUGUCUAUUUUCAUUACCUAGUCAAGGCAUUGUCCAGUUUCUCCACUGCAGAGAUACAACUGCGCCUUGCAGCUCAUAAAUGCUCAGUAGCUACGUAGUACUCCAUUGUGUGGGUGUAUCAUCGUUUAUUUAGCCAAUAGCCUUGAUUUGGAUAGUUUCUACUAUUUUGAAACCACUGCAUAGUCACUCUGUCAUGAAAAGGCUGGAAAGAAACCUACCUGAAGCCAAGGUUGGAGGGCCUGAUGCCACUGCAUGUUUUGGAAAUUGUUGAUCACCCAUUAAAAACUGACCAUUCGGAUCACCAAACUUUCAGAAGAGGUUAAAAAACAGCAUAGUCUGUCAAUCAGGUGGAAGUCCAAAUCUAA